CAGUCGCCGCGGUAAAACGGAGGGGGCUAGCGUUGUUCGGAAUUACUGGGCGUAAAGUGCACGUAGGCGGCUGUGUAAGUCUGUUGUGAAAUCCCCGGGCUCAACCUGGGAAUGGCAAUGGAAACUGGACGGCUAGAGUGCGUCAGAGGAUGGUGGAAUUCCCGGUGUAGCGGUGAAAUGCGUAGAGAUCUGGAGGAAUACCGGUGGCGAAGGCGGCCCCCUGGACAAAGACUGACGCUCAGGUGCGAAAGCGUGGGGAGCAAACAGGAUUAGAUACCCCUGUAGUCCCUGUCUCUUAUAC
rnacentral:rRNA from 1 species